AUGAACGCUGGCGGCGUGCCUAAUACAUGCCAGUCGCGCGAACAGACGAGGAGCUUGCUCCUCUGACGUUAGCGGCGGACGGGUGAGUAACACGUGGAUAACCUACCUAUAAGACUGGGAUAACUUCGGGAAACCGGAGCUAAUACCGGAUAAUAUAUUGAACCGCAUGGUUCAAUAGUGAAAGACGGUUUUGCUGUCACUUAUAGAUGGAUCCGCGCCGCAUUAGCUAGUUGGUAAGGUAACGGCUUACCAAGGCAACGAUGCGUAGCCGACCUGAGAGGGUGAUCGGCCACACUGGAACUGAGAAACGGUCCAGACUCCUACGGGAGGCAGCAGUAGGGAAUCUUCCGCAAUGGGCGAAAGCUUGACGGAGCAACGCCGCGUGAGUGAUGAAGGUCUUCGGAUCGUAAAACUCUGUUAUUAGGGAAGAACAAAUGUGUAAGUAACUAUGCACGUCUUGACGGUACCUAAUCAGAAAGCCACGGCUAACUACGUG
rnacentral:rRNA from 1 species